rnacentral:rRNA from 1 species
CCUACGGGGGGCUGCAGUGGGGAAUUUUGGACAAUGGGGGCAACCCUGAUCCAGCCAUUCCGUGUGAGUGAAGAAGGCCUUCGGGUUGUAAAGCUCUUUUGUCCGGAGCGAAACGGGCGGCCCUAAUACGGUCGUCUACUGACGGUACCGGAAGACUAAGCACCGGCUAACUACGUGCCAGCAGCCGCGGUAAUACGUACGGUGCGAGCGUUCAUAGGACUUACUGGGGCGAAAGCGUGCGCAGGAUGUUAAAUCCCCGGGCUCAACCUGGGAAUGGCAUUUGGGACUGCAAGGCUGGAGUGUGGCAGAGGGGACUAGAAUUCCUGGUGUAGCAGUGAAAUGCGUAGAUAUCAGGAGGAAUACCGAUGGCGAAGGCAGGUCCCUGGGUUAACACUGACGCUCAUGCACGAAAGCGUGGGGAGCAAACAGGAUUAGAUACCCCUGUAGUC